CAGGAUUUCUUGUUUCGGAUGGGAUUGGUUCAUUGGUUCUAUUGUGUUUGGCUGUAUCGGUGAUUUGGUGUCUGGAAUUUGCAUUUGGGGUUCUUUCCUUUAUGUGGGUUUGGCUUCUGCAAGUGUAAAACCUUUUCUUAGAAAUUAGAACAAACCUUUCCUUUUUGGGAAAGAGCGCUAGGGGGAUUUUUUUCAGGUGUAGAUGGUUCUGUUGACAUUGAUGAGGGCAUAGUUUAUCUCUGCUUGUAAUUUCUACUUUUAAUUUAGGCCCG
rnacentral:misc_RNA from 1 species